rnacentral:ncRNA from 12 species
CCUAUGGAGUGUACAAGAACCUGUAAGUAGAUAUUGUAGAAAUACAAAUUGAAAGCAUACACAAUGAAGUAGGAA